UUGACUCUCCCCCCCAGCCGCCAUCGAGAGACGCAGGUCGACUCUCCCCCCCAGCCGCCGCCAAGAGACGCAGGUCGACUCUCCCCCCAGCCGCCGCCGAGAGACGCAGGUCGAAUCCCCCCCAGCCGCCACCGAGAGAUGCGGGUCGAAUCCCUCCACAGCCGCCACUGAGAGACGCAGGUCAAAUCCCUCCCCAGCCGCCACUGAGAGACGCAGGUCGAAUCCCUCCCCAACCGCCACCGAGAGAUGCAGGUCAGCUCCCCCAGCCGCCUCCUAAAGAUGCAGGUCGGCUCCCCCAGCUUCCAUAGAGAAGAGAGUCGAAUUCCCCAGCUGCCACCAAUAUCAAAACCGCCCUCUCUCUCUGCUGGUACCCAGAGGGACGCAGGUCAAUACCACCCUCUCUGCUGGUACCCAGAGGGGCACAGGUCAAUACCACCCUCUCUCUCUGCUGGUGCCCUGAGAGGUGAAAGUCCUCUGCUGGUACCCUGAGAGAUGCAGGUCGAUACCACCCUCUCUCUGCUGGUGCCCUGAGAGACUAAGUCGAAGCCCUCCUUUGCUGGUAUCGCGAGAGAUGCAGGUCAAAAACUCUAUUGGUGCCCUGAGAGAGGAACCUCCUCUGCAGGUACCCUGAGAGAAGCAGGUCAAAACUACCCCCUCUCUGCUUGUGCCCUGAAAGACGCAGGUUGAACCUGCCCUCUGCUGGUCCACAGAGUUGCAGGUCGAAAACACCCUCUCUUCGCUGGUGCCCAGAGAGAGAGAGGUCGAAGCAGUUUGUUGCUGGUGCCCUGAGAGAUUUAUGUCGAAACUACUCCCUCUCUGCUGGUGCUCUUGAGAUGCAGUUUGAAGCCGCCCUCUACUGGUGCCCUGAGAGACGCAGGUCGAAGCCGCCCUCUUGCUGCUGGUGCCCUAAGAGACGCAGGUCAGAGCCCUCAUCUGUCCCGAAGUGGUUGCUGUUUAGAUCCUCAAAGAUAAGAAAUAUGACUGCCAUUAUAUAAUUGGGUGUGUAAUGCCAGAUAUUCUAGCAAGUUGCAGAUCACUUAUGCUUUACCAGCUAUCAGAACUGAUUUUUCUAUUUUUUGGCAUUAACUUCGUGAUAUUUUCUCAAAUGCAUGCAAGAUUAAUGAAGUUUUCCCUUAACAAGUGGUCAUGUUAUGGUUAAAUUGGAGAGCUAUGAUUAGAAUAAAUGGAAUUUGGGGAGGUGGUAAUCAGUCACAAAGCAAUUAAUUUGUAUUUAGUCCUCUCUCUGCCGUCUGCUAAGUCGCAGUCCCUCCUCAUAUUGGGAUAUAUUUGCAUCUACAAUUUGCAAUGUAAGUUGAUUGCUAUAUAAUGCGUCUGUGGAGUUAACUUUUUAUAAUGGAAAUUAGAAAGGGGGGGUGGGGCCUGUUAACCUUAUGCCGAAAGAUCUUUAUUGCAGGAGUUUCCACACUUUGCUGUUUGAAGAACAUUUUCCUUGGUGUUGUGUUUAUAUAUUGGAGUUUGAGCAUUCAGAACUUCGCAUCAAGUAAGCAGAGAAUCGUAUCUAGUUAUUUGAGAAAAGAGGUAUAGUUUUCUAUUUUGUAGUGAUUUUGUUCUGAAGUUGUCUUGAAUAGGGAUACGUAAGGAUAAAACUUUUUGAUAAUUGGAAUAUUGGGGGGAAGGGGGGAUACCACUCACAGAGAGUUCUUGGUUUUUUGCAGUCUUCUGUCUUCUACAUCGCAUGUUCCACAGCUAACAGCUGCCAGGUCUCACCAUAUAUUUUUGGAUCCAUGCGCCAAUAUUUUUCCAUGUAAGUUGGUCGUUGUUUGAUGUUUAUGUAGUGUUUUUGUGUUCACUGAAGUGAAGGGGGCCGGAGGGGGCCAUUAACCUUAUGCCAGAGGUUCUUUAUUGCAGAAGUUUCCACACUUCGUCAUUUGAAGGACAUUUUUUGUGUGGUGUAGUUUAUACAUUGAAGUUCCAAUAUUCAGAAUACGACAUCAAGUAAGUGUAGUUCCAGUAUUCAGAAUAUGACAUCAAGUGUGUAAAUAUAUUUGAGAAACUUAUAAUAAUUUUUUUUUUUUUAAGUUUGCAAAUAGGUAGAAGUAUAAGUAAUGCUUUCCUUUGAGAAAUGGAAGUAAUGAAAUAUUUGGGGAGGGGGCGGGGUUAACACUCACAAAGCAAGUUCUUGGUAUUUACAGUCCUUUCUGCUACUUCAUAUGUACCACAGUUUACGUCUGCAAUGGUCUCGCUCGCUUCGAUAUUUGAUAAUGUAAGUUGGCAAUGGUCUCGAUCUCUUCGAUGUUUGAUAAUGUAAGUUGGUUGUCAUGCAUAUGUAUAGUGUUAACGAUUGUGUUCACUUCCCUUGAUAUUUGAUGUUAGGGAUAUUA